rnacentral:tmRNA from 1 species
GGGGGCGACUUGGUUUCGACGUGGGUAUCGAAGCAGCGCAGGGCAUGCCAAGGUCCAGUUACCUUGUAAAUCCGCUGGAAAUCCUUAGACGCCAACGACGAGCGUUACGCUCUCGCCGCCUAACACCGGCGAGACGCUGCACUAGCUUGCUGAUGGGCUAGGCCGGGGCAACCCGGUGCAGCGUCAUUUACAUCAGCCCCUCUGCACGGUCUGGUCGCUUGGCCGUGCGGAUCCGUCGAAGCGACUGGCUGAGCGUCAGCCUGCCGGCCGGCGGGCGCGAGGCGAGACCUAAAUGACCAGGCUAAGCAUGUAGUCCUGACUGUAGAGGGCUUGCGGACGCGGGUUCGAUUCCCGCCGCCUCCACCA